AUCCUGAAGGAAUGAAUAAAGCAGGCAGACUGAACCUGGGUAGAUAUGCUGUCAACUUUUCAUUGGAAGAGGGGAGAUUGUUCCAUUCAGCAAAAGGAAGAAAGGUUGUCGUUGUGCAUACCAUGAAAGAAGCCCUGCAACUCUUUAAAAGGUAUCAUGACAGUCCAGAGGGUGGACAUCUAGGAAUAUUCAAAACCAGGAAUGCGCUGACAUCAAAAUACUAUUGGCCAGGGAUGACAAAAGACAUUGCCAAUUGGGUUGCACAGUGUCUGACUUGCCAGAAAGAGGGAAAGCAAUCAAAUCUGGAUACCACCUUGAAAAGCAUAAAGGUCACUCGGAUCUGGGAAUUGGUGGGAAUGGAUUUAAUAGGACCGUUACCAGUAACAAAGGAUGGAUACCAGUAUAUACUUACAGCCAUAGAUUAUCUUUCAAGAUGGGUGGAAGCCUUUCCACU